rnacentral:rRNA from 1 species
GUGUCAGCAGCCGCGGUAAUACGAAGGGGGCUAGCGUUGCUCGGAAUCAUUGGGUUUAAAGGGUCUGUAGGCGGGCUAUUAAGUCAGGGGUGAAAUCUUACAGCUUAACUGUGAAAUUGCCUUUGAUACUGGUAGUCUUGAAUAUUUGUGAAGUUUUUGGAAUGUGUAGUGUAGCGGUGAAAUGCUUAGAUAUUACACAGAACACCGAUUGCGAAGGCAGGAGACUAACAAAUGAUUGACGCUGAGAGACGAGAGCGUGGGGAGCGAACAGGAUUAGAAACCCGGGUAGUCC